UACGGGGGGGUGCGAGCGUUGUCCGGAAUCACUGGGCGUAAAGGGCGCGUAGGUGGUUUGAUAGGGUGUGGUGAAAGUCCGGGGCUCAACCCCGGAUCUGCCGUGCCGACUGUCAAACUCGAGGGCUGUAGAGGCAGACGGAAUUCCGGGUGUAGCGGUGGAAUGCGUAGAGAUCCGGAGGAAGACCGGUGGCGAAGGCGGUCUGCUGGGCAGUUUCUGACACUGAGGCGCGACAGCGUGGGGAGCAAACAGGG
rnacentral:rRNA from 1 species